ACAGUACAUCAAGUAAUGAGAUUUCGCCAGGAUCAGAUUCUGACAAUCGAGAAAAGCCACCAAAACUACCAGCAAUCCAGCUAAGGCUGCUCUAUCCAAUAUUUUGGAGCCAUACCGUAACGGAGAUAUGGAUAAAAUGAACCAAGCCUUGGGAAAUUCGAACGAGGAAUAGAUGUAAAGGAUUUUUUGCAUGGUAGCAGGCCAAUUGUCUCAACAUGGUGGCAAGUCGGGCAUUAUUUGUUCCUGCACCGACGAGACCGAGAGCAAAGAUUGCACUGUUGGCUACCUCGGAGUCAUUGUCGUGGCUGUAUUUAUUUAGGACGUCGAGAACUGCCAAGUCUGGAUUUGACAAAGAGGAUAGGCCUAGGGCCAGUGGCAUUGCUCGUCUUGCGUAAAUAGAUCCGUAUCUUCCAAUCUGAGAAAUAAUCCCUUAUAAAAACAGAUUGAUCAUAUAUUGACACUUUUGAAUCAAGGGAUUUUUCUCAUCACCUGGCCGAAUAUCCUCGAAUUCUCUUUUCCCUCUCCCAGUCCAACAGCAGCGACACCCAAAGUAGCUAUGGCCUGCGACGAGCCGAUUUCUCUGAAGGAUACAUGAAGAAUUAUGAAAAGGUCAUGAAUAUAAUAAAAAUAUAAAUAAAAAUGCGAUUAAAAGAGUACUUUGAUCCCCCGUGUUGUUUCUCUUCUAACUUCUCUUUGGUUUUUUUCUCAGAAAAUUCGAUAAUUCGAUGGCGUUGAUCGCAACAACUGCUGACAGGACUGCUAGCCGGCGUAGCAGGAAUACUUUCACCAUCCACCGGUUCCGAACAUAUUCGUAACAAUUCCUGAACAAUCAAUACAUCCCCUGUCCCAGCGUAUGCACACACCUGAGGUCAAUCAAUAUCUUUUAAUCUUGAUGAUUUUUCAUUUUUAUAUUUAUAUUUAAUUUAUAUUUCAGAAUAUAAUAUCUUAAUAAAGUUGAUAGUAUUACUUGUAACAUAGUCUGCGCAGCAAGUUUGUAAGGAUCUGGUAAGACUUCAAGUGCGGCCGAAGAAGCCUCUAUGACAUCGCGACAACCCAUGUAGACCAUUCCCAAUGCCAGUGACAGAAAUCUGUA